rnacentral:tRNA from 1 species
GCCUUCGUGGUGUAGUGGUUAUCACGCUCGAAGUGUAUUCGAGAGUUUCGUGGUUCGAUUCCCGGAGAGAGCA